rnacentral:tRNA from 1 species
GGUAGUCACGCCAAUGUGGUAUCGGCACCGUUCUUAUAAAGCGGAGAUAGGUAGGUUCAAAUCCUCCGGCUACCA